GGUUUAGUGGUGUAGUUGGUUAUCACGUCCGUCUCACAUGGAGUGUUUAUCACGGGAGGUCUCCGGUUCGAACCCGGGCUGAACCA